GGGUCUCUAGCUCAGUAGUAGAGCAGCUGACUGCAGAUCAGCAGGUCUCCUAUUCAAACCCGGAGGGGCCCU
rnacentral:tRNA from 1 species